rnacentral:rRNA from 1 species
GGGUUGUGAGGUUAAGCGACUAAGCGUACACGGUGGAUGCCCUGGCAGUCAGAGGCGAUGAAGGACGUGCUAAUCUGCGAUAAGCGCCGGUAAGGUGAUAUGAACCGUUAUAACCGGCGAUUUCCGAAUGGGGAAACC